UACAGAGGUCUCAAGCGUUGUUCGGAUUCAUUGGGCGUAAAGGGUGUGUAGGUGGCGCGCUAAGUCGGGUGUGAAAUUUCGGAGCUUAACUCCGAAACUGCAUUCGAUACUGGCGAUCUCGAGUUCGGGAGAGGUGAGUGGAACUGCGAGUGUAGAGGUGAAAUUCGUAGAUAUUCGCAAGAACACCAGUGGCGAAGGCGGCUCACUGGCCCGAUACUGACGCUGAGGUGCGAAAGCGUGGGGAGCAAACAGG
rnacentral:rRNA from 1 species